UACGGAGGGGGCAAGCGUUGUCCGGAAUUAUUGGGCGUAAAGAGCUCGUAGGCGGUUUGUCGCGUCGAAUGUGAAAACCCGGGGCUCAACCCCGGGCCUGCAUUCGAUACGGGCAGACUAGAGUUCGGUAGGGGAGUCUGGAAUUCCUGGUGUAGCGGUGAAAUGCGCAGAUAUCAGGAGGAACACCGGUGGCGAAGGCGGGACUCUGGGCCGAUACUGACGCUGAGGAGCGAAAGCGUGGGGAGCAAACAGG
rnacentral:rRNA from 1 species